GAUGAACGCUGGCGGCGUGCCUAAUACAUGCAAGUCGAGCGAACAGACGAGGAGCUUGCUCCUCUGACGUUAGCGGCGGACGGGUGAGUAACACGUGGAUAACCUACCUAUAAGACUGGGAUAACUUCGGGAAACCGGAGCUAAUACCGGAUAAUAUAUUGAACCGCAUGGUUCAAUAGUGAAAGACGGUUUUGCUGUCACUUAUAGAUGGAUCCGCGCCGCAUUAGCUAGUUGGUAAGGUAACGGCUUACCAAGGCGACGAUGCGUAGCCGACCUGAGAGGGUGAUCGGCCACACUGGAACUGAGACAGGGUCAAGACUCCUACGGGAGGCAGCAGUAGGGAAUCUUCCGCAAUGGGCGAAAGCCUGACGGAGCAACGCCGCGUGAGUGAUGAAGGUCUUCGGAUCGUAAAACUCUGUUAUUAGGGAAGAACAAAUGUGUAAGUAACUAUGCACGUCUUGACGGUACCUAAUCAGAAAGCCACGGCUAACUACGUG
rnacentral:rRNA from 1 species